rnacentral:rRNA from 1 species
AGAUUGAACGCUGGCGGCAUGCCUAACACAUGCAAGUCGAGCGGCAGCGCGGGGGCGACCCUGGCGGCGAGCGGCGGACGGGUGAGUAAGGCAUCGGAAUCUGCCCUGAUGUUGGGGGAUAACGUAGGGAAACUUACGCUAAUACCGCAUACGACCGAGAGGUGAAAGCGGGGGGACCGAAAGGCCUCGCGCAGCACGGAUAGAGCCGAUGUCCGAUUAGGCUAGUUGGUGGGGUUAACGGCCUACCAAGGCGACGAUCGGUAGCUGGUCUGAGAGGAUCGGAUCAGCCACACUGGGACUGAGACACGGCCCAGACUCCUACGGGAGGCAGC